AACAUAAGAUUAUUGCUCCAAGUAACCUGAAUAGAGGAGAUGGUAACAAAAACCAAUACAUGGGAUUGUUGCUCCAGGUAAUUGAAGGUGAUCUUGUAGAUAGAACAUAAAAUCCACCCAUGAUAUUUUUUCUCUCCAGAACUGGCUGUUUCGUCAAAUUUGAUCAUAAAAAUACCUAAAUAUAUAUAAAAUAUAAAUUGUGAAUUUGUGACCAUAAACUUUCAGUUACUUUUGGCGCCUUAUCUCUCAUUUUCUCUCACUCUCCCCGAUUACCAAUCGUCCAACCCUUUCGCAUUAAUGGCCUUAACCCAGCAGCAUUUGAAACCCAUUUCUUCUUCUUCUUCCUCCUUUUUUCACUUAUUAAAUCCUUCUACACUUCCACCACCUCCAUUCUCGGUCAAAACUCACUCUGACAGCCUCUUCUUUUUUCGCCCAAGAACAGUCCAGAGUCUUCGCAACUCAGCGCCAACUUUCACCAGAAGAUUGUUCCUUCCUUCGGUUUCUUCGAUCUGGGAUGCUUUGACUGGUGGCACCAACAAUGCGCGUGAAGCUGUCACGGCCAUUCGCCGUGGAAUGUCACUCUUUCGACAGGGUGAUGUUUUGGGAUCUGUUGUGGAAUUUGAUAAGGCAAUUGAGUUGGAUCCUCGACAAAAGGCAUAUCUUUGGCAAAGGGGAUUGUCGCUUUACUAUCUUGAUAGGUUUGAAGAAGGAGCAGAGCAAUUUCGAUUAGAUGUUGCUCAGAAUCCAAAUGAUACGGAGGAGUCAAUAUGGUGCUUUCUCUGUGAAGCUCAACUCUAUGGAGUUGAUGGAGCUAGGAAGCAAUUCCUUGAGGUCAGUAGAGAUCCUCGACCUGUCAUGAGGGAAGCUUAUGAUAUGUUCAAAGAUGGUGGUGAUCCAGAAAAGCUCGUUGCUGCAUUUUCAAAUGGCCGGGAGAAUGAGUUUUUUUAUGCCUCUUUAUAUGCUGGGCUUUAUUAUGAGUCUCAGACUCACAUGCUAAAGAUAUUUCCCUUUGACGAUGUUGGCACGUCCUAAUCACAUGGAAAGCCACUUCCACCAUUAUUGGUGAAUAUUACGGCUGCCGCAUUGGCACAGGAAGAAAAUUUAAGUGAAACUCUUUGACUUCCAGGAGGAAAUAUUAACUUAUGCAGCAAUUUUCUAUAUGCAGAAGGAAGCAGAUGAAGCCAAGGUUCAUUUACUUGCUGCAUGUCUGAUGAUUAUAUGGCUUCUCUAGCCAAGGUUCACUGUCUCUGUCGAACCUGGAGCUCCGCUUGAUGGUGAAAUCAAUUCAGUUGGCCUCAUUGCAAGUUCGGAUGUUCUCCUAACACAGAGCUGUAGAUUUUGUGUUGAUAACUUCUAUAUACAUUUAGAAAAACUAAUGAACAUGAUGUGGACAGAGAUGUGCAGGCAAGUAUUGCCUCUGCAAUCUUGACUUGUGUUUCACAUGGCAGAAAAUAUGGAUCUGAACUAUGAGGUAAUUGUUCAUCUUAUCACGUAUGCAUGAAUUGUCAAGGUAAUUAAGCCUGUAAAGUUCAAGAUAA